rnacentral:misc_RNA from 1 species
AAGUCGUAACAAGGUUUCCGUAGGUGAACCUGCGGAAGGAUCAUUAACACGUAUAUCCAAAACGUAUCAACCCAUUCGUGCUCUUUGAGUUCAGGAGAAUGAUAAAACUUGCCCCUUGUUCUUAGUAAGGAACCAAGCUCAAUUGAGUGAGGGUCCCCAAAAGAAGGGGGGGUGGGACUCCUGUUCUCUUUAUUAACCCCUUUUGUUACAGUUUUUCUGAUACCUGAGUACAUUUGGUUCAAUGGCAUUGCGCCGGCGACCCACUUGAACUUAACCAAUUAUUGACAACUCUUAACAAUGGAUAUCUUGGUUCUC